GUCACUGGCGGCGCGCAUAACACAUGCAAGUCGAGCGAGGGCUUAUUUCCCGCAAGGGAGAUAGCGGCGAACGGGUGAGUAACACGUGGGCAACCUUUCCUAUCGCGGGGGAUAACACCGGGAAACCGAUGCUAAUACCGCAUGUCGUCACCGGGGCCGGUGAAGAAAGCAGCAAUGACGAUGGGGUGGGCCCGCGGCCUAUCAGCUAGUCGGUGGGGUAACGGCCUACCGAGGCGAUGACGGGUAGCUGGUCUGAGAGGACGACCAGCCACACGGGGACUGAGACACGGCCCCGACUCCUACGGGAGGCAGCAGUGAGGAAUCUUCCGCAAUGGGCGAAAGCCUGACGGAGCGACGCCGCGUGUGGGAUGAAGUCUUUCGGGAUGUAAACCACUGUCGGAGGGGAAGACAUCGACGGUACCCUCCAAGAAAGCCCCGGCUAACUACGUGCCAGCAGCCGCGGUAAUACGUAGGGGGCAAGCGUUAUCCAGAUUUACUGGGCGUAAAGCGCGUGUAGGCGGCUGGUUAACCGUGAUGUGAAAUCUUCGGGCUCAACCCGAAAACUGCAUUGCGAACUGGCCUGCUAGAGUGCAGGAGAGGGAAGCGGAAUUCCAGGUGUAGCGGUGAAAUGCGUAGAUAUCUGGAAGAACACCAGUGGCGAAGGCGGCUUCCUGGCCUGUUACUGACGCUGAGACGCGAAAGCGUGGGGAGCGAACAGGAUUAGAUACCCUGGUAGUCCACGCCGUAAACGAUGGG
rnacentral:rRNA from 1 species